GAGAAACUCAUUUGGAAUUUUGGUUUCGAGGGAAGGUGGGUAAUUUACAGAUUAACAAAGUGAAUGGUAAUUUUGAUUCUCCGAUUCGAAAAGACCGGUAUCCGUGUAAAACAAGGUUUUAUUUAGGUUAAUUGGGUAACGCGUUCUAAAGAGACGUUGUUCGAAUUUUACUUGAAAAAUAAUAAGAAAUGGAGAAAAAUGUGAAAUUGUUAGAUUUGUAGGAUUAGCUGAUUCUCGCAGAGGGUAAUUUCAGUUUUUC
rnacentral:misc_RNA from 1 species